rnacentral:rRNA from 1 species
CACGUAGGGCGCAAGCGUUGUCCGGAAUUAUUGGGCGUAAAGAGCUCGUAGGCGGUCUGUUGCGUCUGCUGUGAAAACCCGGGGCUUAACCCCUGGCUUGCAGUGGAUACGGACAGACUAGAGGUAGGUAGGGGAGAAUGGAAUUCCCGGUGUAGCGGUGAAAUGCGCAGAUAUCGGGAGGAACACCGGUGGCGAAGGCGGUUCUCUGGGCCUUACCUGACGCUGAGGAGUGAAAGCGUGGGGAGCAAACAGG